rnacentral:rRNA from 1 species
GGGCCCGCACAAGCGGUGGAGCAUGUGGUUUAAUUCGAUGCAACGCGAAGAACCUUACCAGGGCUUGACAUACUACAAAUUCUUUAGAGAUGAAGAAGUGCCUUCGGGAAUGUAGAUACAGGUGGUGCAUGGCUGUCGUCAGCUCGUGUCGUGAGAUGUUGGGUUAAGUCCCGCAACGAGCGCAACCCUUAUUUUUAGUUACUAAUUCGUUAGGUUCUCUAGAAAGACUGCCGGUGACAAACCGGAGGAAGGUGAGGAUGACGUCAAGUCAGCAUGCCCCUUAUGUCCUGGGCUACACACGUGCUACAAUGGUUAAGACAAAGAGUCGCGAGCUCGCGAGAGUCAGCUAAUCUCAUAAACUUAGCCUAAGUUCAGAUUGCAGGCUGCAACUCGCCUGCAUGAAGUUGGAAUCGCUAGUAAUCGCUGGUC